GACGCGGGGUGGAGCAGCUCGGUAGCUCGCUGGGCUCAUAACCCAGAGGUCGCAGGUUCAAAUCCUGUCCCCGC
rnacentral:tRNA from 1 species